UUGGAUUCUUUUGUUGCCUUGUUCUCUUGGCAGUGGUUUAAUAAAAAAUUCUUGUCAUCUCUCUCUCAAAAAAAAGAAAAAAAGAAAAAAAAAAAAAAGAUGUACUUAGUAAGCUCUAAUCUGUUGGCAGCAAUUAUCUCGUUAAAACAGGCAGUAGAAGGUCUUGACAACCUUGACCAGUCUGCAGAAAUCUUGAUCCAUUUUCUCUGUGCUGUUCCUGGAUGGGGUGAGAAAAAUGCUCAGGUUCAACAACAGGUUAUAGAGAUCAUUACUCAUAUAGCUUCUACAGUCCAAAAGUUCCCAAAAAGAUGUGUGGUGCUCUGCAUUCUAGGUGGGUAUUAGGUUAUAGUUGUAAAUGGUUUUUUUUUUUUUUUUCAUUCUAUAAAAGUUUUAAAUGUGUUAGAUAUGUUUGAUAUGACUGUUAUUCUCUGCAAGUUAACUAAUAUUAUCAGCUAUUACUUCUGGAAAAACUGAAAGAAGUUAAAAUUUCAAGAGAUGCCUGGUUUAGGUUCA